CCCUUAGAUGUUCUGGGCCGCACGCGUGUUACACUGAGUGGAUCAGCGGGUCAGGUUGCGCGAAAGUGUUUCCUAAUCUUGAAAUCCGCUCGUGAUGGGGAUUGACGGUUGCAAUUUUCCGUCAUGAACGAGGAAUACCUUGUAAGCGCGGGUCAUCAUCCCGCGCUGAAUACGUCCCUGCCCUUUGUACACACCGCCCGUCGCUCCUACCGAUUGAGUGGUCCGGUGAGGCUUUGGGAUCUGAGCAAAGAGAGCGUUUCGCUCGUUUUGCCCGGAAAACUCAGUCGAACCUUAUCAUUUAGAGGAAGGAGAAGUCGUAACA
rnacentral:rRNA from 1 species